rnacentral:rRNA from 1 species
UCAGACGAUGCGUCAUGCAUAUCAAUAAGCGGAGGAAAAGAAACUAACAAGGAUUCCCCUAGUAACGGCGAGUGAAGCGGGAAGAGCUCAAAUUUGAAAUCUUAAAGGGUUUCCCUUUACGAAUUGUAGUUUAAAGAAGUGUUUUCUGUUGAGGUUUUGGUAAAAGUUCUUUGGAAUAGGACAUCAUAGAGGGUGAGAAUCCCGUAUUUGACCUUUACUUUCAACUUUGUGAUACACUUUCAAAGAGUCGGAUUGUUUGGGAAUGCAGUCCAAAAUGGGUGGUAAAUUUCAUCUAAAGCUAAAUAUUGGCGAGAGACCGAUAGCGAACAAGUACCGUGAGGGAAAGAUGAAAAGAACUUUGAAAAGAGAGUUAAACAGUACGUGAAAUUGUCAAAAGGGAAGCGUUUGACACCAGUGUUGUUUUUCUGAAAAUCAAUUAAAGAACUGUUUAUGCUAAGUUGUUUAGACUUUAUCAGCUAUCUGUUUAGUUUUGAGCUUUUCUUUAAUGCACUUUUCAGUUAACAAGUCAACAUCAAUUUCUUUUGCUGUAAAAAAGCUUGAGGAAGGUGGCUUGAGAUUCGUCUUAAGUGUUUAUAGCCUCUUGCCUAUGCAGUCGGAGAGAUUGAGGUCUGCAGCGUAGAUCCUUCGGGGCUAAAUGCAUUUGUGCUAAGUUAUAACAUUUUAUAGACAACUUGUUGACUAUGAUUUGUCUUGUAGCUUACUCGCUUAUGUUAUUUUACCUACGCUUAGGAUGUUGAAUCUGUGCGAGACUAC